rnacentral:lncRNA from 10 species
UGUGCCCAGCUUGUCAACCAGUUUUUGUUCAGCUUUUCAGCAUGCCUAUCCUACACCAUUUAUGAAUCAGCACAUUCCUCAAGGGCAAAGAGAGGCUUCAUUCAAGAAGUUUCUCUUCCCUCUGAACAUUAGCCCCUCAAGUACUGGCUGCUUGGGCAGCUCUCUCAUACCUUUAAACAAUUUUUUUUUUUUUUUUGAGACGGAGUCUUGCUCUGUUGCCAGGCUGGAGUGCAGUGGCGCGAUCUCGGCUCACUGCAACCUCUGCCUCCCCUCCCAGGUUCAGGUGAUCCUCCUGCCUCAACCUCCCAAGUAGCUGUGACUACAGGUGUGUGCCACCAUGCCCAGCUAAUUUUUGUGUAUUUAGUAGAGACAGAGUUUCACCAUGUUGGCCAGGAUGGUCUUGAUCUCCUGACCUUGUGAU